UGACAAUCAAAAUCUCAAAAGUGACAUUUCAGAGAAAGACAAAGUUAUAGCCAAACUGACAUCACAAGUAGAGGAACAAUCACAGAAUGAGAAACAGAUCAUUACUGACCUUAGAGCUAAAGUGUCUGAUAAGGACUUGCACAUAGCCAAACUAGUGAAGGAAAGACAAGAGA